UAAGACGUAGGGGGCGAGCGUUGUCCGGAAUUACUGGGCGUAAAGAGCACGUAGGCGGAUAUUUAAGUCUGAUGUGAAAGACCGGGGCUCAACCCCGGGGUUGCAUAAGAAACUGGAUAUCUUGAGGGCAGGAGAGGACAGUAGAAUUCCUGGUGUAGCGGUGAAAUGCGUAGAAAUCAGGAGGAAUACCGGUGGCGAAGGCGACUGUCUGGACUGACCCUGACGCUGAGGUGCGAAAGCGUGGGUAGCAAACAGG
rnacentral:rRNA from 1 species